rnacentral:rRNA from 1 species
GGCGACGAUGCGUAGGGUUCGUGAGAGGGAAGGUCCCCCACACUGGUACUGAGACACGGACCAGACUCCUACGGGAGGCAGCAG